GGAUUGCCCCCAGUAGCGGCGAGUGAAGCGGCAAAAGCUCAGAUUUGGAAUCGCUUCGGCGAGUUGUGAAUUGCAGGUUGGCGCCUCUGCGGCGGCGGCGGUCCAAGUCCCUUGGAACAGGGCGCCAUUGAGGGUGAGAGCCCCGUGGGACCGUUUGCCUAUGCUCUGAGGCCCUUCUGACGAGUCGAGUUGUUUGGGAAUGCAGCUCUAAGCGGGUGGUAAAUUCCAUCUAAGGCUAAAUACUGGCGAGAGACCGAUAGCGAACAAGUACUGUGAAGGAAAGAUGAAAAGCACUUUGAAAAGAGAGUGAAACAGCACGUGAAAUUGUUGAAAGGGAAGGGUAUUGCGCCCGACAUGGAGCGUGCGCACCGCUGCCCCUCGUGGGCGGCGCUCUGGGCGUGCUCUGGGCCAGCAUCGGUUUUUGCCGCGGGAGAAGGGCGGCGGGCAUGUAGCUCUUCGGAGUGUUAUAGCCUGCCGCCGGCGCCGCGAGCGGGGACCGAGGACUGCGACUUUUGUC
rnacentral:rRNA from 1 species